rnacentral:snRNA from 1 species
AUACUUACCUGGCAGGGGAGACACCAUGAUCAAGAAGGCGGUUCACCCAGGGCGAAGCCAUUUUAGCAACCUGGGCCACACGACCUUCGAACGUUUUGAGGGCCCCUCGCCAAGGUGGAUGGAAAUUUCCACUUUUUUUGGAUGAUUAUUGAGUUUUAAUCCUGCUGAU